GAUCUUACAGAUGAGCCUUCUUUCCUUACCUUCUUCCACAGAAGAAAGAUAAGUGAGCAAACACAAGAACAAAGCAGGGCGCUGGAUUUUCCAAAGUUCACCGAAAAUGGCAGUGGGCACACUGGCCUCAGUUUGGCAGCACUUCACAAAACGGGGACCCAGAAAAAGAGAAAGGACCCAGAGUUGGGAAGCCACACACAUACAAUUCAAUUAGAGCAACAAACAACUGUCCAAGCUUGGGAAAAGACAGUACAACCCCCCAAGGAGGAUCUCCAUCACCAAUCAAAGAGGUCAGAGGACAUGAAUAUCCAUGUGCUGCUAUUUGACUGCUAACCAGCAUUUGAGGGAGUGAAAAGGCGUCUAAGGAAUCAGAAGUUCAGCAAUCUUGUUGCUCAUCAGGCGGGUCCUGCUGUGUGUGGACAGAAAACUGCCUCGUUCAGAUCUGACUGGAGGGACCGGAGAUUUCAGAGGGGUGGGGCCUGUUCAUUUUUAUGAAGAUAUUACACACAAGGAGCAUUGGUCAAAGCCAGAUCAGCCUGAAGAAAGCCAAAAUUCUGAACAUGGAGAAAAAAUGCAAUGAAGGAUAAUUUGCAGGUUAAAGGGCUGUGAGGGGAUGGAAUAUUCAUGGAAUCGGCUCAUGAGAAAAUACAUAAGCAUGUUAGCAGGUUGUGCUGCAAGUCAUAAAGGUAUAACACAAUAGAGAAGGAUGCUGCAUAAUGUUAAUGAAUGGCAGAGCAAGCAAUAACCCUAAACAACACUGGCACAGAGAGCCUACUGAUUAGCGUCUUUGUAGUUCUGGGUUCUUGCAUUAAGUUAUUUCGGUACUCCAUCUGCAUGGAGUAUGUUCCUCCUAGUGUUUGUUUUGGUUUCAUUUUGCUGCAGUUUGUACCCUAGAGGCCUCUGACCACUUUCCCUAGAAUUAACUGUAAGUGACUGAUGGGGGUGAUCAAGUAUAAGCUCCUCUGGGCAGAGAUUGAUCUGAUAUAGCAUUAUGUACUCUGUACAAUGCUGCAAUGUGGGCUUAACUCACACUGGCAGUUUUAACCAAGCCUGGGCAUGGUUCACCCCUUGGUGUGGUUUGUGUGUGCAUUAUGAGUGCUCUGAACCAUGUCCUGAAGCACUUGGAACACACAGCGGAAGUGAGCCGGCAGUGUCGUGCAUGCAGGCCCCCCACCCAGAAGUGUCAGAUCACGUAUCUAUAGGUGAUCCUACACACAGGUGCCACCCUGUAGCAAUAAAACUGAUAUAGGGUGGACCUGAAGAGGUUAAAGGUCAGUUGAUUUGGCUGCUUUCAAAGUGAUCGCAGGUGCAUUGCACAAAGCCAUAGACUUCUAUUAUAUCCUAUGAGUUUGGUGUGCUUUCUGAACGAGCACCUAAGCUCCUGAAUUUGGGCGUUUUUAGAAAGUGCAUCACACCUACAGGAUAUAAUGGAAGUCUACAGCAAAGUGCAGCUAACCCACAGGUGCACUGCACUGCACCCGCAGUGAGGAAGCAGCCUUAGACCCCUUUACACGAUUGGUCUGAUUGGGUCUACCUGUCCAAUUUACAGGCAGGCCCAAUCGGACCCUCCAUUCACCUCUAUGGCAUUGCAGAUAUAAAUGAACGUGUCUGUUUAUACACACCUACCUCCAAUCUGUUUCGCUAAAUAAACAGAAGGGGGAUCUGUCCCCUUCCAUCGGAUCGGAGGGCUCAUAGAGUAGAGCGGGCUGUGUCUGCUCUGCAUAUGUAGAGUGGACAAGGACCUGCCAUCCGCCUGCCCAGCUCAUUGUGGCCUGCAACCGGUUACCAAGUUGUUUAGGUGGGCCUCGCUCUUCAAAAGGUUGGGCACCCCUGAUCUAUGGCCAGUUUAAGUUCCCAGUACCUGAAAACAUGUUACACUGACAGCACUAUGCAAUGGACUGUGUCUGGAUUUGCUAAUAGUAGUGAUCUUCACCCUGUUCUGAUUUGCCUUUACUGAACACAUAUUUGGAUUUGUACAGAUUAACAUUAAUACAGAUUAACAGUAUUAUACAGAUUAACAUUAAUACAGAUUAACAGUUGCAGCACCAAACAUGCUGAUCAGGCAGGCUUUUGUUUGGGAAGGGUUCAGAUUAGCUCACACAAGCACACAUUUGAGGCCUCUAUAAUUAGGUCUUCUGUAGGGCGAAACGCAUUGGAGCACAAGGUAGACAGAUUGGUCUACACGUCAUGAACUUUUUUUUUUGUGCAUUAAAGCUUGACUCAGAUCAACAAUGUCAUUGGUGUGCAGCCUGUUCAUUUCUCCUUGACAAUCAGUCUGGCACAGUGGGGGUGCGCUCCCAGAUGGGUACCUGACAGAGGCUGAAGGUACGAAGGGAGAGGGGCGCUUUGGAGCAGCGUGUUCAUUAUUAUUUACACAUAUUUGGGGCCUGUUCGCUUCUAGAGAGGGGCCAGAUAAACUAUUUUGCAAAAU